CGUGUGGUGUCUGGCGAUAACAAGGCUGGAUAGCGACACGGCCUGAACAGAGGU
rnacentral:ncRNA from 1 species